UACGGGGGGGGCAAGCGUUGUUCGGAAUUACUGGGCGUAAAGGGCUCGUAGGUGGCCAACUAAGUCAGACGUGAAAUCCCUCGGCUUAACCGGGGAACUGCGUCUGAUACUGGAUGGCUUGAGUUUGGGAGAGGGAUGCGGAAUUCCAGGUGUAGCGGUGAAAUGCGUAGAUAUCUGGAGGAACACCGGUGGCGAAGGCGGCAUCCUGGACCAUAACUGACGCUGAGGCGCGAAAGCCAGGGGAGCAAACGGG
rnacentral:rRNA from 1 species